rnacentral:rRNA from 1 species
UACGGAGGGUGCAAGCGUUAUCCGGAUUCACUGGGCUUAAAGGGUGCGUAGGCGGGUUGGCAAGUCAGUGGUGAAAUCUCCGAGCUUAACUCGGAAACUGCCGUUGAUACUAUUUGUCUUGAAUAUUGUGGAGGUAAGCGGAAUAUGUCAUGUAGCGGUGAAAUGCUUAGACAUGACAUAGAACACCAAUUGCGAAGGCAGCUUACUACACAACGAUUGACGCUGAGGCACGAAAGCGUGGGGAUCAAACAGG